GCCAGAGUGGUGUAGGUGGCUUGAGCAUUGGACUAGAAUCCUGCAGACCGGGGUUCAAAUCCCUGCUCAGCCA